AGGCAAAUAGCUUAAUGGUAGAGCAAUAGUCUCCAAAAUUAGAGGUUGUGGGUUCAAAUCCCGCUUUGCCUG
rnacentral:tRNA from 1 species